CUGAUGUGUUGUGAUUUUGCAUAGUUUUAGCUUUGUUAUUUCAUAUAUAUUCAUGCAUUAACCUUACAUUUAUUUGCAUUUAGAGUCUAUUGCAUGUACAUUUGCAUCUUGUAGGUGUUGGAUGAAUUGUUUGGAGUUUUGGAGGUGAUUAGAGCACAAAAGGAGCUUUCGAGGAGUCUUGAACCGAACGUGUGAAAGACAAGCAUGGAUGAAGGUCUUAAAGAUAUCUUUUGAAACUUGUCUUUUGGGAAGACAUGGUAAAUUGAGUUAGCUUUACAAUGGAGGUGGUUUCAAGUCGUUUGGAGCUGUAUUGAGGGAUUUAUGAUCAAAAUACUACACACAUAUCAGUGUGUGCAACAUGGAGAAAGUGGAGAAAACUUUAAUGAGUGAGUUUUAUCUCUUUAAAGCUUGCAACAUGGGGGAUGGGUUGUCUAUCAUGAGUUUGGUGGUUCUUUUGGCCUAACUUUCUCUACCUUUUCUGAAGAGGCAAGACUACUUUGGCCAUAUGAAGGGGCAAAAGGUGUUCUAUAAUGGAAGAAAGUGGAGAAUAACUUUUAUGAGUGUGUUUUAUGCUUUAUGCUUUCACAUGAUGGAUGUGUUGUCAUCCUCCUUUACUUAGGCUAUAAAAGAGACUGCAAGGGGAAGGAGGAAGACACAAUACACAGAGUACAAUACAACAAAGAGUAGAGAGUGAAAGUUUUAUAGUUUCAUAUUUUGUAUUUUGAGAGUUUGAGAAAAAACAUUUGUUCUUGGAGUGUUCUUGAAGUUUAUGUUAUAAAGUCUUGUUUUCCUUUA